CCUAGUUUUAGAACCUGUAACACUAUGCAUAUGGCGGCCUCUUCCUUCUCUCUUUCGUACUCCUCUCCGUCGAAUCCCAUUUUAAUCAUUUCAGAAUCCAUUUUUGUCUAUGUUGCUUUGUCCACUACACUUUUACCCUCCAUCGCUGCUGCAUCUUCAACAGAAUCGAAGAUUCCAAGCCACACACACGCCUUCUUCCUCACGCCAUGGAACCGCAUUUCGCCGACGUUGUUUCCCUAUUGUCGAUGCCCCUAGCCUGUGCGACGAUCUCCGAUCCUCUUGUUCUCUAACGACACUCUUCUCCAGUGACAUCUCCUAUGGUGACGUCUCCUCCAACUUCCUCUCCUUGCCGUCCUAGAUCUGUGUCUUUUCCGCCAUCAGCAUUUCCCUUUCGUUCUGAAUAUGGAAGAUAUUUUGGAAUUAAAGAUAUCUAUAGCAGAAAAUAAAGACAUGUAUGAAUUACAGCAUGAGAGUAAGUAAUGGAACGAAGACGUUGCAGCUUCUCGUGUAGUAGUGCUGCUCUCUUUUGCUCUCUAGAAACCAUGGGAAGAAACUAUCAAAGUUUCUGCUGUGGUCUGAGCGAUUGCCAUUCUCAACCUCAAUGCUGUCCAAGGAGGGUAGAAUAUGCUAUCCAAGUUGGUGCCACAAGAAGAACAAGUCAGAGGCUAGUGUGUUAGUUCAGCAUGUAGCAAUUGUCUGGUUUCCAUGUUGAGAAUAGACUCAAGGAAGAGGUUCUGAAGUGGAAAGAUGCAGAAAUCGGAGAGCCAAAAGAAGGCGAGGUGCGCACGAGGAACAAAGCCAUUGGCCUUAAUUUUAUCAAUGUCUACUUUCAGAAAGUUUAUAAAGCCCUCUCAUUGCCUUUCACCCCAGUUGUAGUGAUCCUAUUUCUAUGGUUAGAGCCAAGGGAAUUGGAGUUCUUGGGCUUGACCGAUAGUGAGCAGAAUGUCAUGAAUGGGAUAAGUUUUCUUCUCUCUUUUACCUGAUUAUGAAUCAAAGCUUUGUAGUUCUAAUUGCAUGUAAUAUAGCUACUUAGAAGGGAUAAUAGUUGGAUUAAUUUCUGCUUUGUAGAGGUCCAAAGUUAAUUUGCUUAUCACAUACUAUUGCAUGCAAGGGAUGACAGGCUAUGAGCUACUUAAGAAAAUCAAGCUAUCUUCUUUUCAGGAGGAGGGGAAAGCACCGUAUUUAUAUGUGGAAGUGGAUUUUAAGGAGGUAACUAGCAAAAAGACAGCACUUAUUGAGACUUCCAAUCAAUUGAGGAACAAAGUUGGAGAAGCAGCAGUGAUAUUAAGAGCCGGUUUGAUAGAAAUUCUCUGAGAGGAGAGGUUCCUACAAACCUUUGUAAGAGAUGAGUUUGGAUAAUGAAGUUGGAGUGUUGGAGCAAGAAACAAAGAUGUUGGAGCAAGUUUCCGGGAUGAAACUCACAUAAGAGACCAAGAAACUAAGGCAGGGUUGUUCUAAGUUAAUUACAAAAGGAGAAAACUUUUGGCUUCCAAAUCUUAUUCAUCAUCACUUAGCUAAGCUACUUGUCUUGUAUAUUCAUAUUGUAAGUAGUAAAAACAACACUCAUUAGAUAGUUUAAAUACAUUAUUAGAUAUUAACAUAGUUUAGGAAACUGGAUGGUAGAUUUGACUGAUUAGUGUUUAUUGCAAUGCUUGUAUUUUGGUAAGUUUAGUAAGACAAGGUUUUGUAUAGGAGUAAUUACUUUUGAUUUUCAAUAAUAAAAAAAUUAUAUAUUAUA